rnacentral:rRNA from 1 species
UACCUUCGUUUCCUCGGCGGGUCCGCCCGCCGAUUGGACAAUUUAAACCAUUUGCAGUUGCAAUCAGCGUCUGAAAAAACUUAAUAGUUACAACUUUCAACAACGGAUCUCUUGGUUCUGGCAUCGAUGAAGAACGCAGCGAAAUGCGAUAAGUAGUGUGAAUUGCAGAAUUCAGUGAAUCAUCGAAUCUUUGAACGCACAUUGCGCCCCUUGGUAUUCCAUGGGGCAUGCCUGUUCGAGCGUCAUUUGUACCUUCAAGCUCUGCUUGGUGUUGGGUGUUUGUCUCGCCUCUGCGCGUAGACUCGCCUCAAAACAAUUGGCAGCCGGCGUAUUGAUUUCGGAGCGCAGUACAUCUCGCGCUUUGCACUCAUAACGACGACGUCCAAAAGUACAUUUUUACACUCUUGACCU